rnacentral:pre_miRNA from 1 species
CCUAUACUCCCUCCGUCUGGAAAUACUUGUCAUCAAAAUAGAUAAAAGGGGAUGUAUCUAGAUGUAUUUUAGUUCUAGAUACAUUUUUUUAAUCCAUUUUGAUGAUAAGUAUUUUCGGACGGAGGGAGUACUUC